rnacentral:rRNA from 1 species
AACGAACGCUGGCGGCAUGCCUAACACAUGCAAGUCGAACGAGACCUUCGGGUCUAGUGGCGCACGGGUGCGUAACGCGUGGGAAUCUGCCCUCAGGUACGGAAUAACUCAGGGAAACUUCAGCUAAUACCGUAUAAUGACUUCGGUCCAAGGAUUUAUCGCCUGAGGAUGAGCCGGCGUCGGAUUAGCUAGUUGGUGAGGUAAAAGCUCACCAAGGCGACGAUCCGUAGCUGGUCUGAGAGGAUGAUCAGCCACACUGGGACUGAGACACGGGCCAGACUCCUACGGGAGGCAGCAGUGGGGAAUAUUGGACAAUGGGCGAAUGCCUGAUCCAGCAAUGCCGCGUGAGUGAUGAAGGCCUUAGGGUUGUAAAGCUCUUUUACCCGGGAUGAUAAUGACAGUACCGGGAGAAUAAGCCCCGGCUAACUCCGUGCCAGCCGCCGCAGUAAGAC